rnacentral:rRNA from 1 species
UACGGAGGAUGCAAGCGUUAUCCGGAAUGAUUGGGCGUAAAGCGUCCGCAGGUGGCUAUGUAAGUCUGCUGUUAAAGAGCAAAGCUUAACUUUGUAAAAGCAGUGGAAACUACAUAGCUAGAGUGCGUUCGGGGCAGAGGGAAUUCCUGGUGUAGCGGUGAAAUGCGUAGAGAUCAGGAAGAACACCGGUGGCGAAGGCGCUCUGCUAGGCCGCAACUGACACUGAGGGACGAAAGCUAGGGGAGCGAACAGG